GAUGAAGAACGCAGCGAAAUGCGAUACGUAAUGUGAAUUGCAGAAUUCAGUGAAUCAUCGAGUCUUUGAACGCACAUUGCGCCCCCUGGUAUUCCGGGGGGCAUGCCUGUCCGAGCGUCAUUGCUGCCCUCAAGCACGGCUUGUGUGUUGGGCCUCCGUCCUCCUCCCGGGGGACGGGCCCGAAAGGCAGCGGCGGCACCGCGUCCGGUCCUCGAGCGUAUGGGGCUUCGUCACCCGCUCUUGUAGCCCCGGCCGGCGCUUGCCGACACAUCAAUCUUUUUUCCAGGUUGACCUCGGAUCAGGUAGGGAUACCCGCUGAACUUAAGCAUAUCAAUAAGCGGAGGA
rnacentral:misc_RNA from 1 species